rnacentral:rRNA from 1 species
AGAGUUUGAUCAUGGCUCAGAUUGAACGCUGGCGGCAGGCCUAACACAUGCAAGUCGAACGGUAACAGGAAGCAGCUUGCUGCUUCGCUGACGAGUGGCGGACGGGUGAGUAAUGUCUGGGAAGCUGCCUGAUGGAGGGGGAUAACUACUGGAAACGGUAGCUAAUACCGCAUAAUGUCGCAAGACCAAAGAGGGGGACCUUCGGGCCUCUUGCCAUCGGAUGUGCCCAGAUGGGAUUAGCUUGUUGGUGGGGUAACGGCUCACCAAGGCGACGAUCCCUAGCUGGUCUGAGAGGAUGACCAGCCACACUGGAACUGAGACACGGUCCAGACUCCUACGGGAGGCAGCAGUGGGGAAUAUUGCACAAUGGGCGCAAGCCUGAUGCAGCCAUGCCGCGUGUAUGAAGAAGGCCUUCGGGUUGUAAAGUACUUUCAGCGGGGAGGAAGGGAGUAAAGUUAAUACCUUUGCUCAUUGACGUUACCCGCAGAAGAAGCACCGGCUAACUCCGUGCCAGCAGCCGCGGUAAUACGGAGGGUGCAAGCGUUAAUCGGAAUUACUGGGCGUAAAGCGCACGCAGGCGGUUUGUUAAGUCAGAUGUGAAAUCCCCGGGCUCAACCUGGGAACUGCAUCUGAUACUGGCAAGCUUGAGUCUCGUAGAGGGGGGUAGAAUUCCAGGUGUAGCGGUGAAAUGCGUAGAGAUCUGGAGGAAUACCGGUGGCGAAGGCGGCCCCCUGGACGAAGACUGACGCUCAGGUGCGAAAGCGUGGGGAGCAAACAGGAUUAGAUACCCUGGUAGUCCACGCCGUAAACGAUGUCGACUUGGAGGUUGUGCCCUUGAGGCGUGGCUUCCGGAGCUAACGCGUUAAGUCGACCGCCUGGGGAGUACGGCCGCAAGGUUAAAACUCAAAUGAAUUGACGGGGGCCCGCACAAGCGGUGGAGCAUGUGGUUUAAUUCGAUGCAACGCGAAGAACCUUACCUGGUCUUGACAUCCACGGAAGUUUUCAGAGAUGAGAAUGUGCCUUCGGGAACCGUGAGACAGGUGCUGCAUGGCUGUCGUCAGCUCGUGUUGUGAAAUGUUGGGUUAAGUCCCGCAACGAGCGCAACCCUUAUCCUUUGUUGCCAGCGGUCCGGCCGGGAACUCAAAGGAGACUGCCAGUGAUAAACUGGAGGAAGGUGGGGAUGACGUCAAGUCAUCAUGGCCCUUACGACCAGGGCUACACACGUGCUACAAUGGCGCAUACAAAGAGAAGCGACCUCGCGAGAGCAAGCGGACCUCAUAAAGUGCGUCGUAGUCCGGAUUGGAGUCUGCAACUCGACUCCAUGAAGUCGGAAUCGCUAGUAAUCGUGGAUCAGAAUGCCACGGUGAAUACGUUCCCGGGCCUUGUACACACCGCCCGUCACACCAUGGGAGUGGGUUGCAAAAGAAGUAGGUAGCUUAACCUUCGGGAGGGCGCUUACCACUUUGUGAUUCAUGACUGGGGUGAAGUCGUAACAAGGUAACCGUAGAGGAACC